rnacentral:rRNA from 1 species
UACGUAGGGCGCGAGCGUUGUCCGGAAUUAUUGGGCGUAAAGAGCUCGUAGGCGGCCUGUUGCGUCCGCUGUGAAAUCCCAGGGCUCAACCCUGGGCGUGCAGUGGAUACGGGCAGGCUGGAGGCAGGCAGGGGAGAACGGAAUUCCCGGUGUAGCGGUGAAAUGCGCAGAUAUCAGGAGGAACACCGGUGGGCGAAGGCGGAUCUCUGGGCCAUUAACUGACGCUGGAGGAGCGGAAAGCGUGGGGAGCGAACAG